CGGUAGGAACCUGGUCGGGGCUGAUGAAGUGAAUGUGCGUAUCGAUGCCGCCGGCGGUGAUGAUCUUGCCCUCGCCGGAGAUAAUGUCCGUGGCCACGCCGAUGGUGAUGUCCACCCCGUCGGAGAUGUCCGCGUUGCCGGCCUUGCCGAUCUGGGUGAUGUAACCGUCGGUCACCGCAAUGUCGGCUUUGAAGAUACCGGUGUAGUCGAUGACCGUGGCGUUCGUGAUGACCAGGUCGGGCACGUGCUCGUCGCGCACGUGGCGGGAGUUUUGUCCCAUGCCAUCG
rnacentral:sRNA from 1 species